rnacentral:rRNA from 1 species
CGUGGGCAAUCUGCCCUCCAGCCCGGAAUAACCCGCCGAAAGGUGGGCUAAUACCGGAUGACGUUUUCGUGGGGAAUCCCGCGGAAACCAAAGGGGGCGAGCAUUAGCAGCUUUCACUGGAGGAGGAGCCUGCGUCCGAUUAGCUAGUUGGUGGGGUAACGGCCUACCAAGGCGACGAUCGGUAGCCGGCCUGAGAGGGCGACCGGCCACACUGGAACUGAGACACGGUCCAGACUCCUACGGGAGGCAGCAGUGGGGAAUAUUGCGCAAUGGGCGAAAGCCUGACGCAGCGACGCCGCGUGGGCGAUGAAGGCCUUCGGGUCGUAAAGCCCUGUCGGGUGGAACGAAUCUCCCCGUGGCGAAUACCCACGGGGAUUGACGGUACCACCGAAGGAAGCUCCGGCUAACUACGUGCCAGCAGCCGCGGUAAUACGUAGGGAGCGAGCGUUGUUCGGAUUUACUGGGCGUAAAGCGCGCGUAGGCGGCCUUGUAAGUCGGGUGUGAAAGCCUUUCGGCUCAACCCGAGGACACGCGCCCGAAACUGCAUGGCUUGAGUCUAGGAGAGGAGAGCGGAAUUCCCAGUGUAGCGGUGAAAUGCGUAGAUAUUGGGAGGAACACCGGUGGCGAAGGCGGCUCUCUGGACUAGUACUGACGCUGAGGCGCGAAAGCUAGGGGAGCGAACGGGAUUAGAUACCCCGGUAGUCCUAGCCGUAAACGAUGGGCACUAGGUGUGGGAGGUAUUGACCCCUUCCGUGCCGCAGCUAACGCAUUAAGUGCCCCGCCUGGGGAGUACGGCCGCAAGGUUGAAACUCAAAGGAAUUGACGGGGGCCCGCACAAGCGGUGGAGCAUGUGGUUCAAUUCGACGCAACGCGAAGAACCUUACCAGGGCUUGACAUCCCACGAACCUUCCCGAAAGGGUUGGGUGCCCGCAAGGGAGCGUGGAGACAGGUGGUGCAUGGCUGUCGUCAGCUCGUGUCGUGAGAUGUUGGGUUAAGUCCCGCAACGAGCGCAACCCUCACCCCUUGUUGCCACCGGGUAACGCCGAGCACUCUAGGGGAACUGCCAGCGUCAAGCUGGAGGAAGGCGAGGAUGACGUCAAGUCAUCAUGCCCCUUACGCCCUGGGCUACACACGUGCUACAAUGGCCGGCACAAAGGGAUGCAAGACCGCGAGGUGGAGCUAACCC